rnacentral:rRNA from 1 species
GACGAACGCUGGCGGCGUGCUUAACACAUGCAAGUCGAACGGAAAGGCCCUGCUUUUGUGGGGUGCUCGAGUGGCGAACGGGUGAGUAACACGGGAGUAACCUGCCCUUGACUUUGGGAUAACUUCAGGAAACUGGGGCUAAUACCGGAUAGGAGCUCCUGCUGCAUGGUGGGGGUUGGAAAGUUUCGGCGGUUGGGGAUGGACUCGCGGCUUAUCAGCUUGUUGGUGGGGUAGUGGCUUACCAAGGCUUUGACGGGUAGCCGGCCUGAGAGGGUGACCGGCCACAUUGGGACUGAGAUACGGCCCAGACUUCUACGGGAGGCAGCAGUGGGGAAUAUUGCACAAUGGGCGGAAGCCUGAUGCAGCAACGCCGCGUGCGGGAUGACGGCCUUCGGGUUGUAAACCGCUUUCGCCUGUGACGAAGCGUGAGUGACGGUAAUGGGUAAAGAAGCACCGGCUAACUACGUG